GCCGGGUGCGGUGGCAUGUGCCUGUAAUCAAGUUCACUGGGAGGCUGAUGUUGGUGGAUCAAGUGAGCUGAGGAGCUCUGGGGCUGCAUCACACUAUGUGGAACGGGUGAUCCACGCUAAGUUCGGUAUCGAUAUGGUGUUUCCUGGGGGAGGCCCUGGACCACAGGUUGUCUAAGGAGGGAGUGAAACGGCCCAGGGUCGGAAACGAAGCAGGUCAAAUCCCCCGUGCUGUCCAGUAGUGGGAUAAUACCUGUGAGUAGAUGCUGCAGUGCAGCCUGGCGAAACAUCGAGACCUAAUCUUUC
rnacentral:SRP_RNA from 1 species